GGGUUAGUAGGUUGGUCGUGCCACCGGUACGUACUGGUCUCACUGAUUCCUCCUUCCUGAUGAGCUGUAAUGCCAUUAAUUUGGUGUUGCGGGGAAUUUGGACUGUUACUUUGAAAAAAUUUUAGAGUGUUUAAAGCAAGCUAACGCUUGAAUACAUUAGCAUGGAAUAAUGAAAUAGGACGUUCGAUCCUAUUUUGUUGGUUUCUAGGAUUGACGUAAUGA
rnacentral:rRNA from 1 species